CAUUCGCCUGCUGCGGGCAGAUGAAGUGGAUAUGCGAGUCGAUACCACCAGCGGUGAUGAUCUUGCCCUCUCCAGCAAUGACAUCUGUACAGCUGCCUACCACCAUGCCCGGCGUCACUCCCUCCAUGACAUCCGGGUUGCCCGCCUUGCCAAUACCCACGAUAAGCCCGUCCUUUACGCCAAUGUCCGCCUUGUAUAUGCCGGUCCAGUCCACAAUCAGAGCAUUGAUCACAACUAGAUCUAGAGUUCUCGAGUCCGGCCGUCCGGUAGCCUGGCCCAUUCCCUCGCGGAG
rnacentral:sRNA from 1 species